GCCUAACACAUGCAAGUCGAACGGUAACAGGAAGCAGCUUGCUGCUUCGCUGACGAGUGGCGGACGGGUGAGUAAUGUCUGGGAAGCUGCCUGAUGGAGGGGGAUAACUACUGGAAACGGUGGCUAAUACCGCAUAACGUCGCAAGACCAAAGAGGGGGACCUUCGGGCCUCUUGCCAUCAGAUGUGCCCAGAUGGGAUUAGCUUGUUGGUGAGGUAACGGCUCACCAAGGCGACGAUCCCUAGCUGGUCUGAGAGGAUGACCAGCCACACUGGAACUGAGACACGGUCCAGACUCCUACGGGAGGCAGCAGUGGGGAAUAUUGCACAAUGGGCGCAAGCCUGAUGCAGCCAUGCCGCGUGUAUGAAGAAGGCCUUCGGGUUGUAAAGUACUUUCAGCGGGGAGGAAGGUGUUGUGGUUAAUAACCGCAGCAAUUGACGUUACCCGCAGAAGAAGCACCGGCUAACUCCGUGCCAGCAGCCGCGGUAAUACGGAGGGUGCAAGCGUUAAUCGGAAUUACUGGGCGUAAAGCGCACGCAGGCGGUCUGUCAAGUCGGAUGUGAAAUCCCCGGGCUCAACCUGGGAACUGCAUUCGAAACUGGCAGGCUUGAGUCUUGUAGAGGGGGGUAGAAUUCCAGGUGUAGCGGUGAAAUGCGUAGAGAUCUGGAGGAAUACCGGUGGCGAAGGCGGCCCCCUGGACAAAGACUGACGCUCAGGUGCGAAAGCGUGGGGAGCAAACAGGAUUAGAUACCCUGGUAGUCCACGCCGUAAACGAUGUCUACUUGGAGGUUGUGCCCUUGAGGCGUGGCUUCCGGAGCUAACGCGUUAAGUAGACCGCCUGGGGAGUACGGCCGCAAGGUUAAAACUCAAAUGAAUUGACGGGGGCCCGCACAAGCGGUGGAGCAUGUGGUUUAAUUCGAUGCAACGCGAAGAACCUUACCUGGUCUUGACAUCCACGGAAGUUUUCAGAGAUGAGAAUGUGCCUUCGGGAACCGUGAGACAGGUGCUGCAUGGCUGUCGUCAGCUCGUGUUGUGAAAUGUUGGGUUAAGUCCCGCAACGAGCGCAACCCUUAUCCUUUGUUGCCAGCGGUUAGGCCGGGAACUCAAAGGAGACUGCCAGUGAUAAACUGGAGGAAGGUGGGGAUGACGUCAAGUCAUCAUGGCCCUUACGACCAGGGCUACACACGUGCUACAAUGGCGCAUACAAAGAGAAGCGACCUCGCGAGAGCAAGCGGACCUCAUAAAGUGCGUCGUAGUCCGGAUUGGAGUCUGCAACUCGACUCCAUGAAGUCGGAAUCGCUAGUAAUCGUGGAUCAGAAUGCCACGGUGAAUACGUUCCCGGGCCUUGUACACACCGCCCGUCACACCAUGGGAGUGGGUUGCAAAAGAAGUAGGUAGCUUAACCUUCGGGAGGGCGCUUACCACUUUGUGAUUCAUGACUGGGGUGAAGUCGUAACAAGGUAACCGUAGGGGAACCUGCGGUUGGA
rnacentral:rRNA from 1 species